UAUAAAAUCCCUGAAUGAAGGGUGGGGGG
rnacentral:piRNA from 1 species